UUUUAAAAUGCCAUUGUUCAUCUUUCAGGUCAGGAUUCGUGAGCCUAAAGGAUCUGAAAUCAGAAAGCACAAUCUGAGGAAGGUGCUUCUGCGAAAUUUAUAACUUGAAUUGUGUGCACCAAAUAUAUGAAUUGUUGGGCUUAGUUCAUCAUCGGGAAGUUUAUCAUUUUGCUGGUUUGCCC